CUAAACUGAAGUGGUCAAUCCCAUCUUGACACACGCAUCGACAAGUCAAGUACUUGACUACACCCAGCAGCCUUCCAUCACUGAAUUAAAAAUUCAGAUAGUCCAGUGCCUAAGUGCAGUGAGUUGCUUGCAAGUCACCAUGGCGGUCUCAGGUCGGAGAGAUAUUUAUACCCAUAUUCCAUCGGAGCAAAUCUUGACAGUAGAAAUAGCUCC
rnacentral:lncRNA from 1 species